rnacentral:rRNA from 1 species
AUACGUAGGGGGCAAGCGUUAUCCGGAAUUAUUGGGCGUAAAGCGCGCGCAGGCGGCCGGUUAAGUCAGGUGUGAAAGGCUGCGGCUCAACCGCAGAGCUGCAUCUGAAACUGGUCGGCUUGAGUGCAGGAGAGGGGAGCGGAAUUCCCGGUGUAGCGGUGGAAUGCGUAGAGAUCGGGAGGAACACCAGUGGCGAAGGCGGCUCUCUGGCCUGUAACUGACGCUGAGGCGCGAAAGCGUGGGGAGCGAACAGGAUUAGAUACCCUGGUAGUCCACGCCGUAAACGAUGAGUGCUAGGUGUUGGGGGGCUACGCCCCUCAGUGCCGAAGGCAACCCAUUAAGCACUCCGCCUGGGGAGUACGGCCGCAAGGCUGAA